CAUCUAUUACAGCAAAAACCCAGUCCAAUAACAAUGAUACCAUCAGCAGUGCCAUAGCCCAGAUGCCUUAAAACAUAAUACUUGCCAACGUGACCCACUUCUCCUAAUCCCUUUAAUGCAACCCACGUUCCUUUCCUUUUUACGGUGAAGUGACAAGCCAACCCCUAAAUGCCUUGAAGCUCCUCAUGCGAGGACCAACAACUUCAACGUUCACAAGGAAUCUCACGGCAUCAAAUACACGGAAAGCAACCAGAUUUUCCGCAUCUUCCGCCUCUGCAAGUGCAGGCGAACAGCGAUGCUGCUCCAGUCCUGUGCCUCUGCAACUCCUCCUUGCUCGCAUGGAUGGACUCCACGUCCCCUGCGAGUAGAUUGAUCAAGGCUGCCUGGGUCGCUGUCUUCUUUUGGGUUUUUGCAUUAAAUUAGGGAUUGCUCGUUGGGGAAGUUUUUGAUUUGAAAGUUGUUGGAGAAUUCCAUUUGUUCCCUUUGUUCCUAUCCGGCUGUUCUCCUCUUUUCCCAAGGUUUGGGAACCCUAAUCUCUCUGCUAUAUAUAUUCUCAUUCUGUUCACUGUGAAAUGGGGAUUAUUAUUUUCAAGAGAGAUUUUUUUGGGAAAAAACAAUAGAAAAAUUAGUGAAAAAAUAGUGAGCUGCCAUCCAUACAGGUAUAUAUACAAACAUUCCGAUUUUUUAUCGAGUCUUCACUCGAUUUUCUGCUCACGCGAGUUCAUUGGGGUGUUGUUUUUUAAGUAGUGGAAGCUCGUCAACUCUUGGUUGCUCGUCUCGUUCAAUUCACUGCCCAGGAGAAGGUGACGGCUUCGUGUUUUAUCUCAAGUUUGCCAAGAACUCACGUUCGCCCUCACAUUUCGAGAGACUCACAAAGACUCAUAUUUCGUUAUAUCUAGUCAACCCAUCAAAAUUGACGCACAUGUUCCGAAGUUGAAUGGGUAGCCAAAGAAAAAAGCGGGAAAAUAAGAAAUCGAAAAGUCCCAAAUUUAUUUCCAAUUUUUUUUGUAUUUUGUUAUUUUGGGACUAAGCCCAUGUCAUUAUACUAUUAUUAUUUGUGCUAGAGGUGUAUGACAGGUACCUUUGGAAUGGACUUAAUUCCCAAAAGAAAUGGGUCCAAACACCGGUUAAGGAGAACAGAAAUCGGAUUUGAA